rnacentral:rRNA from 1 species
AACGUAGGUGGCGAGCGUUAUCCGGAAUUACUGGGCGUAAACGCGUGUGCAGGCGGGCUGACAAGUGGUGUAUGAAAUAUCCCGGCUUAACGGGAGGGGUUAUGCCAGACUGUCAGUCUUGAGUGCGAGAGAGGAGCGUGGAAUUCCGGGUGUAGUGGUGAAAUGCGUAGAGAUCCGGAGGAACCCCAGAGGCGAGGCCGGCGCUCGUGGCUCGCAACUGACGCUCAGACACGACAGACAUGGGGAGCGAACGG